rnacentral:lncRNA from 1 species
GAAAAAACUCUCACCAAAGCAAGAGUCCUGCUAGCAGGUUUCCCGCCUCACAGAUUGAAGCCCAGGUCGCCACACAGGAACAGGCUCCUCCCCGCUGCAAAUGGCGUGAACUUCUGGAGGCCCCACCCCGUUCUCCCAGUGCAAAGAAACUCACAUUUCUUCUAUCUCAUUACCUGUGGUCAGAAAUUACCUCAUGUGGCUUCAACAGGGCAUUCUGUACUAACCAUGGUUUAUUGAAAAUGUUACAACAUUUCAGAAAGAUUCAAACAGCUCCAUGUGGUGGAUAGUCCAAUCUGCAGGUCACUCAGCCUACAGUUGGGAUGAAUUUCCCAAAGUCCAAACCUUCAGCAUUUCUCCAGUAUCAAGAUCUACUUCAGUGAUCUCCUGAUCCAAGCCUGAGACCUCAGGAGCAUAAUUAUCUCUCCUUUCUCUCUUCUUCUCCUGCAACCUGAUGGAAAUACCUCUUACUGGGCCCCUGUGAAUCUGCUUCUUCAGAUGCGUGACUCAGCCUGCUAUCUUGUUGCAGAGCUUCUUGCUGGGGAUAAUGACAGUCUUCACCCACUUGCUUGUUCAUGUGGAAAUCAUUACCGGGGUGCAUGUAAUACUUUUCUAUGAUGACCCAGGCUACCUUCUUCACUGUUUUGGUGUGAAGGCUGCCCAUCUUGGCAGGUCCUUGGUAAAAGAGGCCAAACUCUUUAUACUUAAAAAUUUACUUUGCUCAUCUUACAGCCUUUUACAUCUAAAUAUAGUUUCAUCAAGUAACAUUCUUACAAUUAUAUUCAUUUUUUAUUAACCCUAAUUUUGAACAGCAAAUUCACUUUACUAGCAUACUGAGGCAAUCAAUGACAUAAUUUGGAUUUUGCAGUGAUUAAAUAGAGGAUUGGAAGAACAUUAAGAGGGGAAAGAGCAAAUCAGUAAAUUUUAACCUUAGGAGGUAGAAUGCUCAGCAAGAGGCCUGGGAUAUGUAGCUUUCAGGGUUCAGUUAUGAAUUCAAUUAUGCACCCCAUAAUUCUUCAUCUAAAUCAUUAGCUUACAGUCUCAAUUGUCAUCAGACACAGCAGGCAUUUGGAACUUAGGUGCUUUGGGGAGAAGAGCAGACAUGGUCUUUCCAUUUGGCCAGCAUCAGAAUCCCUUCCUUUACUUAGGGAAUUCCCAAGGCAUAAGACAGAACCUAUUUCUUGUUGUAGAAGCUAAAAUUCCCUGACACUAUUAUACUUUACCCAGGCUGGCUUGCAAGUAAGGCAAAGGCACAUGUCCUAGGCUCUACCAAAUAGAGACACACACCCCAGUCUUUGAAUUGAGCAAUAAGGAUGGAAAACUAAACAAAACAAAAUACCACAAACAACUGUUGCUGGUGGCAACAAUAGUAAGGAUGACCAAGUCUGUAAAGUUUCAGUGGCAACCAUGCCAGUGCUAGUACCCAGCACCCAGUGUCCAGCAGUAUAGACAGGGCCAGCUGCAGCAUUCAUGCUCUGUGGAAGCAACGAUGUUGUCCCUACAAGAAUAGAUGGAUGAUGUGACUAGCCAGGGCAUUUCUCCUGUCUGCACAGCUUCAAGCUAGUUCUCCAUCAUUACUACUGAUUCCAUCCGCUUCACAGCAUCCUUUCCCCACCACAAUUUCUGAUUUAUUAUCUGUUAGAUUUGGAAACUGAUCACAUGAAACUGCAAAAAUAUCAAGUGUCUAAAAUUUUUACAUAAAACAUGAAUUACCUCUAGUUCCAAACUCA